AUUGAACGCUGGCGGCAGGCCUAACACAUGCAAGUCGAGCGGAUGACGGGAGCUUGCUCCUUGAUUCAGCGGCGGACGGGUGAGUAAUGCCUAGGAAUCUGCCUGGUAGUGGGGGACAACGUUUCGAAAGGAACGCUAAUACCGCAUACGUCCUACGGGAGAAAGCAGGGGACCUUCGGGCCUUGCGCUAUCAGAUGAGCCUAGGUCGGAUUAGCUAGUUGGUGGGGUAAUGGCUAACCAAGGCGACGAUGCGUAACUGGUCUGAGAGGAUGAUCAGUCACACUGGAACUGAGACACGGUCCAGACUCCUACGGGAGGCAGCAGUGGGGAAUAUUGGACAGUGGGCGAAAGCCUGAUCCAGCCAUGCCGCGUGUGUGAAGAAGGUCUUCGGAUUGUAAAGCACUUUAAGUUGGGAGGAAGGGCAGUAAGUUAAUACCUUGCUGUUUUGACGUUACCGACAGAAUAAGCACCGGCUAACUCUGUGCCAGCCGCCGCGGUAAGAC
rnacentral:rRNA from 1 species